rnacentral:lncRNA from 1 species
GGCUGUGGCGCUGACAUUCCUAUGUGACUGUGAGAUGGGAAGCGAGUUUACUCAGCUCUAAUUGCCAGUUCUCCCUGGAAUCCCUUUUUGCCACCUCUUCUUGGGACACUGACUGUCAGGUUUCCCACGACGCCUCAGUGCGGCUGCCUGCACCUGCCAUCAACCUGCCGAUCCCAGUGCUCUGAAGAUGAACCAGCUCUUACACACUCUUUAUGAGAGCAUAAAGACCAAAUAACUCAGCACAGAGAAGCGGAGAACAAUCGACAACACCUGGCAUUUGCUGAACUGGACUGGAAAAUCUCCUGAAGAGAUCCUAGGCGAGAAUUGGAAACUGACAAUGUGGAGGUAAGGGGUGUUCUGUCGGCCCUCGUUCCUUUCUGCUAAUUCAGAACCCUGGCACCUACAGAGGUCCUCCUGCAGCCCUGGAAUGCCAGGAGAGGUCAAGUCUCCGUCCUCCCCUUCCUCUGCUCCAGCCCUGGUCACACUCCAUCCACGAGACACUAAGGUUUUUCACCACUUCCAGCAAGUCCCUGCUGAACCUCAGUCUUCCCGGAGGCAUUGCCACUGUUGGUGCACAGAGCCUGCAGGUGCCAGAACCUCAGCGUUGAGGGAGAUCUGUGAAACAGACUUUGAGCUUUUACUGUCAGUCCUCUCUCUUCCACAGGCCAGAGAUGCAUCCAUGGGCUGGGCCAUGAGACAAAUCAGAAUGAAAACACACUGCAUCGUCCUUCCAAUGACUAAGGUUUUUAUACUGGCCCAACCUUUGCAUACCUCACUCCUACCUCCCCACAAGGAGGCACCUCACCUGACCUCCUCCCUUUUGGUCUGCCCUGCCGGGUAACCAGACAUGCCCAGGUGGUCCUAAUGUUGGACACAAUUUAGGCUCCAGCUGGAAGCCCUAUCACACUUGCAAUGUGUUCC